UUGAGACCAAAGGUUUUGAGUAGCUGAGUAAGGGCGCUGGGGCGGUUGGUCCUCUGUUUAUCCCACUUCCUCCUCUGAGAACAAAGUGACGUGGCAGGUGACAACAGUCAGUCAAGAGCAAUCAUCCAAUGCGCCCCCAGCUUGAAAUCUGAAAGUGAGCGGAGAAAGCCAGCCUAUAACCACAAUUAUAGCAGCCUUCCCAAGAAAAAUAAAAACAUCUAUCUUGAGGAAUUUAAAGACCUUUGGACAAAUAAGCAUCUAAAAAAAGACGGGAAAACCAUCUGGAAAAAAAUUACCAUGAAAAGGAAUAGUCUGGCCUAAUGGUGUCGUGGUUGCAGAGUUGCAACUAGAAGCAAUGCAACCAGUGGCAAUAAGAACAGUCCUGAGCCGCUUCAAUUUCCUGCCAUGGUACUGGUUAAAUACUGAGAAAUAUGUUUUGCUUGACAAAUUAAAAGCAAUUAAAUCAAUUCAAUAUGUGGAACUAGAAACCCAGAACUCACGG